GCAGCCGCGGUAAUACGUAGGUGGCAAGCGUUAUCCGGAUUUACUGGGUGUAAAGGGCGAGUAGGCGGGACGGCAAGUCAGAUGUGAAAUACCGGGGCUCAACUCCGGGGCUGCAUUUGAAACUGUCGUUCUUGAGUGGUGGAGAGGCAAGUGGAAUUCCCGGUGUAGCGGUGGAAUGCGUAGAUAUCGGGAGGAACACCAGUGGCGAAGGCGACUUGCUGGACACUAACUGACGCUGAGGAGCGAAAGCGUGGGGAGCAAACAGGAUUAGAUACCCC
rnacentral:rRNA from 1 species